AAGCUUGGGGAUGAAAAUCUACCGCCCCAGUCUGAGCACCAUGACUGAAUGGUUGUUCUGAAGGCUU